GUCUACAGUCAUGCCACCCUGAAUAAGCCCAAUCCCGUGUGAUCUCAGAAGCUAAGCAGAGUUGGGCCUGGUUAGUACUUGGAUGAGAGACCACCUAGGAAGACCGGGUGCUGUAGGCA
rnacentral:rRNA from 1 species